CUUUCUUCGACGAGUAACAUUAUGAUUUAGGGUUACGGUCUGCACUCUACCUGCCGUUGGUGUUUAUUGGGGCUCCACUCCCUUAACUGUUUCCACUGAGAUUUUGAGCUAUUUACUCAGCUAGGCAUGGAAGAGCAGGUUUAGGAUGAAGAAUACCUCGGUGAAGAACAUGCGAGCUAGGUGGCUUCUGAGUCAGAAUGCCUCUAGGGUUAAGGAAGAUGACAUGGGUUCACGCUAUCGUUAAAGAUUUCCACUUCGAAUGUUUAAGUGUUGUUUGGCCUCCAAGGCCCUAUCUAUUUAAGACUUGACCAUAAUGGGCAUAAUUUGUGUAAGACAAUAUGUAGUGGAUGUAAGACUCUUUAUUAUUCAGUUAUAUGUGUUUAGUGAUCAUUGAUCCUGGGAUCA